CCCUAAAAGCCGUCCCAGUUCGGAUUGCAGGCUGCAACCCGCCUGUAUGAAGUUGGAAUCGCUAGUAAUCGCGGAUCAGCAUGCCGCGGUGAAUACGUUCCCGGGCCUUGUACACACCGCCCGUCACACCAUGAGAGUCGGGAACACCCGAAGUCCGUAGUCUAACUUUCACGAGAGGACGCGGCCGAAGGUGGGUUCGAUAAUUGGGGUGAAGUCGUAACAAGGUAUC
rnacentral:rRNA from 1 species